GAAAUGUCGGUGGCGCUGCCUUGACAGGACCGGGGGGAUGCUGUUAUACCGCCCUGACAAGGUUUGCCGCAUCAUACUGGCCUGUGGAGUGCUGCACAAUGUCGCGCACAGGCAUGGCAUACCCCUUGGUGAGGUGGGGGCACCGCCAGAUGACCCUGACCCAGGACCAGUAUAUGUGCAGCACAAUCAACAAGCCAUUCAGGCCCGUCAACGUGUAAUUGCGACAAUAUAAAUGAACAGCAUGCGUCAAGACACGGCCAGAUGGACGGGGCUUCAGCACUGGGGGAACAUUAGAGACACGGGAGACGCUGGACUGAAUGGGCUCUGGCUGCUCAGGUGGUGCGGACUCUGAGUGCGUGCCAGUGGACGUUCCUGCGGUUCCUAAGUCCAAUUAAACACAGGCACAUCUUAACAGUAAUUUGAGUCUGUUCCUUAUUAAUGGGUACACGCAUUUGCAAUAAAAGCAGUGGAUACGUGAAAUCUCUGGUGUACCUUUUGCUAUAUUGCAUGCAUUUUAAAAUUAAACGGUGGCUGGCUAUGUAUAUCAAAGUUAAGGAAAUAAAUCUGAGUCACCUUG